UGAAAUUUUAAAUUUUAUUGGGACUAUAUUUUUUUUAAUGAAGUUAGGAAAUUUAUUUUUAGACUAGGAUUAGAUACCCUAUUAUUUUAAACGUUAUUAUUAAAGCUAAAUUAGUAUUAGUUUUGUUCUUGAAAGUUAAAGGAUUUGGCGGUAUUUUAGUCUAUCCAGAGGAACCUGCCCUGUAAUUGAUAAUCCACGAUUGAUUUUACUUGUUUUAAAUAAGUUUGUAUAUCGUCGUGGUUGAAUAUUUUAGGAGAAUUUAAUGUUCAGUAUUUUAAAUUACACAAGAAUUCAGAUCAAGGUGUAGCUUAUAAAUAAGAAGAGGUGGGUUACAAUAAAUAAAUUUAUGGAUUAUGAAGUUAAACUUUUAUAUGAAAUUGGAUUUGGCAGUAAUUAAAUUUUAAUUUUUUUAGUGAUUUUGGCUCUAAAAUAUGCACAUAUUGCCCGUCGCUUUUGUUUUAAGAUAAAAUAAGUCGUAACAUAGUAGACUUACUGGAAAGUGAGUCUAGAAGGU
rnacentral:rRNA from 1 species